AAAUAUUAAACUGGACACCUUUUAAUUAACUUACAAAAAAGAGCCCUUUUGACUUAAAAAAUUCACAAUCCCUAACCAGUGAGACAGAGAGAGAGAAGCUAUUUCAAUGGCGAUACAGAGCUCGAGUUCGAUCAAAAUUCAUGCUUUAGGCUAUACAACUCAAACCCCUUCUCUGUUUGAAGGGAGCUUCUGUGGGGAACUAUUUCUGGGGCACUUGGGGAAGGAAUGACUCAUCCAGUUGUCUCUGUAAAUACAUGCAUUCAGAGCCAAGCUAAUCUUUGUGAAAGUCAGGGGUAUGAUCAUAGAGUAGAGAUGUUAUGGAUCUAACAUUCAUGGCUAAUGGAUUUUAAGUUUUCUCUCAUUUGGCAUAUACUGGUCCACACUCGCAAGGGAUGUGCCAUUUCCUGGUCUAAUGGUUAUGUUCUUUGAAGGCUUGAUAGAUUGGAUAGAGUAUGGGAAGCAGUACAUAAUCAUAGGGAUGUAGCAAUACCAGGAUUCAUCAGGAUAAUCUAGCUUUGGCGCUUACCUAGAAGGAUUGAGCAAUGAUAACAUGCGAGAGGAGAUUUUUAAAUUUCUUUCCCAUCCGAUCUUGUUUGUUGAACAGCAUGGGGAAUUUUUAUGUAUCCAAUUAAAUCAUUUGGACGAGAUUUUUAAAUGAUGUGUUCAUGUAAUCUGGGUAUAUAUGUAUAAAUAAAAAACGAGGUUUUGCUUUUUCUUUUC